rnacentral:rRNA from 1 species
UACGAAGGGUGCAAGCGUUACUCGGAAUUACUGGGCGUAAAGCGUGCGUAGGUGGUGAGUUAAGUCUGUCGUGAAAGCCCCGGGCUCAACCUGGGAAUGGCGAUGGAUACUGGCUCGCUAGAGUGCGGUAGAGGAGAGUGGAAUUCCCGGUGUAGCAGUGAAAUGCGUAGAGAUCGGGAGGAACAUCAGUUGCGAAGGCGGCUCUCGUGGACCAGCACUGACACUGAGGCACGAAAGCGUGGGGAGCAAACAGG